GCAGGCGGCCGGACGAUCGCUGCCGUGUUGUCCGCAAGGACUUUCACGGGGGAGGAAAGUCCGAACUCCGCAGGGCAGUGUGCCGGAUAACGUCCGGGACGGAUGCUUCAAGGCAUCUGGACGGCCAGUGCAACAGAGAGCGAACCGCCUCUUCGACCGCAAGGGAGAAGAGGUAAGGGUGAAAAGGUGCGGUAAGAGCGCACCGGGCGCUGCGUAAGCAACGCCGCAUGGUAAACCCCACACGGAGCAAGACCAAAUAGGCAGGGAGUGUGGCUGCACGUCCUCAUGCAGCCAGUGCGUAUCGGCCCGAUGCGCCCAGACGAGGAUAGUCCGCUUCUAAGCGAAAGCCGGAGCGGGCAGUCGAAACCUGCGGGUAGGUUGCUGGAGCCAGUCAGUAAUGGCUGGCCUAGAGGAAUGAUCGUCUAAAACAAAAUUCGGCUUACGGGCCGUCUGCAAAC
rnacentral:RNase_P_RNA from 1 species